rnacentral:lncRNA from 1 species
AUGGUGGUUACCAAAUCUGGAAGCCAAGUCGGGAGCAGGAGCAUCGCCCGGCACGCGGAGGCGUGCCUGCAGCACCGCGUCCCGGGGGGAGCGAGGGCUCUGCUGCCUUCGGCCGAGGCAGCGCGCGGUGCAGGCACCCGGCCAAGCGCGGCGCCCGGCAGAGCUGCGCCACGAGCCGGCGCGGCUUCCGCCAGCUCUCCCCCGGCAGAGAGCUCCCAGGCACCGGUCCCCCCGCCGCACACGGAGCGCGCUGCCCGGAGAGCGCGCCCGCACUGCGGCACAGCGGCGCUCCAGAGGCCUCCUCCCGCGCGGGCACUGUUAUCAGAGGAAGCAGAGCGCCAGCCACUGCACCAGCCCUUUCCUUUCCCUUUCCCUUUUUUAAAUGCUGCAUGCAGACUGGCUGCUUUUCCUAAACUAGUUUCUGUCCCUCCGCGCCAAGCCAGCGGCAGGUUUGGGAAGCCACUGGAUGCCUGCAGCCACCGGCGCCGAAGCCCCCAGCCGCGACGGCUGUUCUACGACAAAGUCAGCCCGGCGCGAGCUGCGCCAAGACGUGCGAGAGGUCGCAUCCGCCGCGCCACUUCCGACCUCCGGAGCUCCGGCACAGAGGGGGCAGGAAGCACGGCAGGGAGACGCUGGACCCCGGCCAUGCUCCACGGGCACCUACCGGACGAGCUGCUGGGCCAUGCCGCCCCGGCACAGCCACGCUCCACGGGCACCUACCGGACAAGCUGCCAGGCCAUGCCGCCCCGGCAAAGCCGCGCUCCACAGGCACCUACCGGACAAGCUGCCGGGCCAUGCUGCCCCAGCACGGCUGCGCUCCAUGGGCACCUACCGGACGAGCUGCUGGGCCAUGCCGCCCCGGCACAGCCACGCUCCGCGGGCACCUACCGGACAAGCUGCUGGGCCAUGCCGCCCCGGCACAGCCACGCUCCGCGGGCACCUACCGGACGAGCUGCCGGGCCAUGCCGCCCCGGUUGGCGCGGCCGCUCAGCUCGGUGGCACCGCGUCACGCCGGACGCACGUGGCGGCAGGACCGGCGCUUCCUGCGUGGCCACGACGGGAAGCGCCGCUCGCCUCACCGCUCGCCUCAGCCGGUCGCCACGGAAACGGGCUGUGGGCGAGCGCCGUCGCGGGACGCGGAUGCGGGUGGGACGCGGGAUGCUGGAUGCGGAUGGGAUAUGGGAUGCGGGAUGUGGGACGCGGGAUGCCCGCGGCAGGGGCGGCCCCGCUGCCGGACGGCUCCCCCGAGCGCCGCCCGCCGCCUCCGGGCCGCAGCGAGGAGGAGGA